UGAUGACGAGACGCUAAGGCGUUGAAGCAGUGUAUGUCAGACUUCCAAGAAAAGCGAUGAUCAUGUUGAAAAUCAAUAUGCCUGUACCAUAACCGACACAGGUGGGUAGGUAGAGUAUACUAAGGGGCGCGAGAUAACUCUCUCUAAGGAACUCGGCAAAAUGACUCCGUAACUUCGGGAGAAGGAGUGCCUUAUUUAUAAGGUUGCAAUAACAAGAUCCAAGCAACUGUUUAUCAAAAACACAGGUCUCCGCUAAGUCGUAAGACGAUGUAUGGGGGCUGACGCCUGCCCAGUGCCAGAAGGUUAAAGAAGUUGGUUAGUGUAUGCGAAGCUGAUGACUGAAGCCCUGGUGAACGGCGGCCGUAACAAUAACGGUCCUAAGGUAGCGAAAUUCCUUGUCGGGUAAGUUCCGACCCGCACGAAAGGCGUAAUGAUUUGGAUACUGUCUCAGAGAGAGGCUCGGUGAAAUAGACUUGUCUGUGAAGAUGCGGACUACCUGCACCAGGACAGAAAGACCCUAUGAAGCUUUACUGUAACUUGAAAUUGGAAUUGGACUUUGCUUGCGCAGUAUAGGUGGGAAGCGUUGAAAAUAUUCUUGCGGGAGUAUUGGAGCUAUCAGUGAGAUACCACUCUUGUAAUGUUAGAUUUCUAACUUUGAACCAUAAUCUGGUCAAAGAACAGUUUCAGGUGGGCAGUUUGACUGGGGCGGUCGCCUCCCAAAUGGUAACGGAGGCGUACAAAGGUUUCCUCUGAACGGAUAGAAAUCGUAUCUAGAGUGUAAAGGCAUAAGGAAGCUUGACUGUGAGACCUACAAGUCGAGCAGGGACGAAAGUCGGUCUUAGUGAUCUGACGGUACUGAGUGGAAAGGCCGUCACUCAACGGAUAAAAGUUACUCUAGGGAUAACAGGCUGAUCUCCCCCAAGAGUUCACAUCGACGGGGAGGUUUGGCACCUCGAUGUCGGCUCAUCGCAUCCUGGGGCGGUAGUACGUCCCAAGGGUUGGGCUGUUCGCCCAUGAAAGCGGUACGCGAGCUGGGUUCAGAACGUCGUGAGACAGUUCGGUCCAUAUCCGGUGUAGGCGCUAGAAUAUUGAGAGGAGCCUUCUUUAGUACGAGAGGACCGAGAAGGACACACCGCUGGUGUACCAGUUAUCGUGCCAACGGUAAACGCUGGGUAGCUAUGUGUGGAGUGGAUAACCGCUGAAAGCAUCUAAGUGGGAAGCCCACCUCGAGAUGAGUAUUCUC
rnacentral:rRNA from 1 species